GUGAGUCAUCGAAUCUUUGAACGCACAUUGCACCCUCUGGUAUUCCGGAGGGUAUGCCUGUUCGAGCGUCAUUUCAACCCUCAAGCUCUGCUUGGUAUUAGGUCGCGCCGGUAAUGCGGCGGGCCUCAAAAUCAGUGGCGGUGCCAUCUGGCUUCAAGCGUAGUAGUUACAUCUCGCUUCCGGAGAUCCAGGUGGUUGCUUGCCAGCGAACCCCAUACUUCUAAGGUUGACCUCGGAUCAGGUAGGGAUACCCGCUGAACUUAAGCAUAUCAAUAAGCGGAGGA
rnacentral:misc_RNA from 1 species